CCCACACAAAAAAAAGCUUCUCUCGAUCCCAUCUGGAUCUCAUCGAAAGAAGAGCUUCGUUGCCGGUGUCGACGCACGGGAGAACUUCCUUGCCGCCUCCGACGUACGAUCUGCCACGAUCUCGUUCGAUCUACCUGCUGCCGAUGUACGAGAUCGCCGACACCGAGAUACGGGAUCGCCGCCGACGUACGAUCUGCCGUCUCUCGCUGCCGCCGUGGUACGAUCUGCCGUCUCUCGCUGCCGCCGUGGUACGAUCUGCCGUCUCUCCCAGAGGAGGCGCCACCGCGGACGUCCGGGAUCACCGCCGCUGACCUGCCAGAGGAGUCGCCGCCUCCAAUCUCCUAGAGGAGCCGCCGCCGCCGACGACCUUCAAGGGAAGACGCCGCCGCCACCUGCGCUGAACCCCAGGGCAGGGUGCGACGAGCGUCGCAAGGAGUACUUGCCGGCCGUACACAGAGGAGGGCUCCACUGUGGCCAUUGGCCACUCUGCUGCAAGCUCAACGCUACAGUUUGACAGGGCCAAGGUGGUAGUAGACGAUGACGAAUAUGGCGCCCUGGCUGUCUCUGUUCAUGAGAUUCCCCCAUGGUGGCCGAAUUUGUAUCACACCAGGCUGCUCCCUCGUAUUGUAAAUCAGAGCUAGCUUAUAUUCAUCCAUUGGUCAUGGCUGACUCCAAAGGCAACACUCCUCCAGUCCUGUGCGUGAUGGCAAAGCUAUGCUACAUGAUAUUAUCAGCUAUGAGAUUUUAUUUGAAGAACCAUGCAAAGCAAUUUGAGAUGAUGCAUAUAAAGCAUAUUCGAUUUAUUAAGUGUUUUUAAGUAUUCAAUUUAUUAAGAGUUCACUCAUCAUUGCCGACCGUACACAGGUAUUCUGAACCUUACCAUCCGAUUUUCAGAAUAAGAGUUGUUUGUAUAAUUCAUGGUGGUUAAAACAGCAGCAUUUGUAGAAUUCCCCUUUGUCCAUGUUGUACCUACAAUUUACUACUAUAUCUGUAGUGCUACUUCAUUUGAAUUUUGUAACCAAAAGAAAUGCAGGCGAGCGAUUCAAGGUUAUUGUUCGAAGUGGCUAUAAUAUGUGGCUCCAGAGGUGCUGAAGCUGCAAACUUGCCGAGGCCAGCAUAAGGAGUGAUGGAGUUAUCUUCUACUUUUAUUUGUUCAUGUUGUCUCAACAAACUGAUUUGUGUUUAUGGUGACUUUUUUAUCUGUCCAUGGAUCAGAGAGGAUGGAUGAUGCAGUGGCCACAUCAAGCGCCCUGUGCUCGACGACAAUGGAAAUGCAGUUUCUCAGAGCUAGCAGGAAGGAGGCUGAUGGCUUCCCGUUGUAGUAACGCGAUGCAGAAGAGACAACACACCAGCCUACAAGGUGAUUAGCACUCAGCAAACUAUUGGAAAGAUGUUGGUACCUUGUUUUUUUUCAAACUCGACAUGCACAUGCAAGAAUAGAUCCGUCGAUGAAGAAAACAACACAUUUCACGAUAUGAUGAUUGGUUUGAGUGCAGCUUUCAGAUAACUUUCUUUCCUUGGGAUAGUUGGAAUACUAUGACUAGAUAUACAAUGGCUUGUAAACAACUACAAUGAUAUUACACAUCACUUUCUGUACUACAUUUAUGUGCAUUUGGAUCUCGCCAAGGCUAAGAAAUCUGCGUCGCAGCCCCAACUAAUGCAUCAACUUGGAACCAAGGUCCACCCUCUAAUAAUCAGCAUAUAUGCCGCAUGUCAGCCUCAUGGGGAUCAAACAGAUGAGGAGAAGGAGGCAGCAAGGAAGAAGGUAGAGGAGAUGGACACCUGAUCUGCAAGUUCCUGAAUUUCAACGUUUAUUGCGUGUUGCUGUGUUAAUAUUGGGUGCAGCAAUUCCACAACUCUGGGAAGAGCUUCUGCUGGAGGGCGUCACCUGCGGCAUCACCUGCAUCGACCUCUCGCUGAUUACCAUCCCAAGGAUGCGCGACCGACUGGCGGAGCAGGGCACCAGUGAGAAGUUCACCAAUUUGGUUGACUCACCGUUCCCUUCCUCUGUCCACGCAAUGCCGCUCGUUGUUGUUAGGUCGUUAAUUCAUCAGACCCCUUAUUGCGCUACAUAGUUUGUUCAUCUCGCAUGCCUUUUUAGGAGAAAUCAUGUACCGAAGAUAAGCUAUUCUUUAUUUACAUUUUAUUUAUUUCUUCCUGCUACUUGUACGAUUUGCUUUGGAAAUCUUCUGACUACUUGCAUGAA